rnacentral:ribozyme from 1 species
AAAAAAAAAAAAAAAUGAGUAUAAUCAGAAUCUUUCUUUCUUCUUCUUCUUCUUCUUAUUAAUAAAACAACAUCAACAACAGCAAUAAUAAACAUGAUUUUUACUUUAUU